GUCGAGAAUCUUCCGCAAUGCGCGAAAGCGUGACGGAGCGACACCGCGUGAUGGAUGAAGUCCUUCGGGGCGUAAACAUCUUUUAUAAAGGAGGAAAUUUUUGACGUUACUUUAUGAAUAAGGGGCUCCCAAUCUCGUGCCAGCAGGAGCGGUAAUACGAGAGCCUCAAGCGUUAUCCGGAAUCAUUGGGCGUAAAGGGUGCGUAGGUGGUUUGAUUAGUCUCCCGUUAAAACUUCGAGCUUAACUCGAAAAGAGCGGGGGAAACGGUCAAACUAGAGUAUGUGAGAGGUGUGUGGAACUCAUGGUGUAGGGGUGAAAUCCGUUGAUAUUCGGAAGAACACCAGUGGCGAAGGCGACAUACUGGCUCAUUACUGACGCUGAGGUGCGAAAGCGUGGGGAGCAAACAGGAUUAGAUACCCCAGUAGUCC
rnacentral:rRNA from 1 species